GAGGGGACCAGACAAGAAGAGGAAAAGCAGGAGAUGAUGGUGUUACUAUAUGGCCCCCCAAAAGAGGAUCAAAGGCAAGUUGUUGUAAAACAUUCCAAGCUCCUUCUCACUGGAGCCACAGGACUCCACAUCAGUGAGACAGGCCAGAAGAACAAAAGAAGAAAAAAUACUGGCAAGGAGAGCAGUCAUAUCUUUUGAGCUACACAAAGCUGAACAAUGUUGCAAGGAAGGCUCCUCCCCAACUCUGGGGGCACAAGGACACAGAUGGUGCCUCCCUUCUCCACUACCCCACCCCCACCGUGGCUUUCGUGAAAAAGAACUCCACAGUGGAGCCAGCCAGAGACUCGUCUGGAGGAGCAGUAACAGAAGCAGCUACAGUUUUGACUGGACUUCCUCUGCUCUGUACUAAUUGGCUGUUUGCUCCAAACCUGCAUCUCCUCAUCUCAGCUUCACUCCACAACUGCCCCCCCUUUUCCUGCCCUGUCAUGCUCACUCAUCUUCCUUUCCCUUUAGCUUAUCCCCUCCUAACUCCACUCCCCUCCCCUCCCAAAAAAGUCAUGGCACUGAAGUGA
rnacentral:lncRNA from 1 species